rnacentral:tRNA from 1 species
GGAUUGUGGCUCAAUGGUAGAGCGCUCACCUAGCAUGCACAAGGUCCUGGGUUCCAUCCUCAGCACCA